rnacentral:rRNA from 1 species
CCUACGGGAGGCAGCAGUGGGGAAUAUUGCACAAUGGGCGCAAGCCUGAUGCAGCGACGCCGCGUGAGGGAUGGAGGCCUUCGGGUUGUGAACCUCUUUCGCCAGUGAAGCAGGCCUGCCUCGUUUGUGGGUGGGUUGACGGUAGCUGGAUAAGAAGCGCCGGCUAACUACGUGCCAGCAGCCGCGGUAAUACGUAGGGCGCGAGCGUUGUCCGGAAUUAUUGGGCGUAAAGAGCUCGUAGGCGGCUGGUCGCGUCUGUCGUGAAAUCCUCUGGCUUAACUGGGGGCUUGCGGUGGGUACGGGCCGGCUUGAGUGCGGUAGGGGAGACUGGAACUCCUGGUGUAGCGGUGGAAUGCGCAGAUAUCAGGAGGAACACCGGUGGCGAAAGCGGCUCUCUGGCUUGUAACUGACGCUGAGGCUCGAAAGCGUGGGGAGCAAACAGGAUUAGAUACCCUGGUAGUCCACGCCGUAAACGAUGAGUGCUAGGUGUUAGACCCUUUCCGGGGUUUAGUGCCGCAGCUAACGCAUUAAGCACUCCGCCUGGGGAGUACGACCGCAAGGUUGAAACUCAAAGGAAUUGACGG